rnacentral:lncRNA from 1 species
CCAAGCAGCCCACCACCAUUCAGCACAGGAGCUGAGCAGGCUCUGCACCACGGGCACUCAGCAGAGCUCAGAGCACCGUGCUGUUACCAUGGCACUCAAACACCUGGUACCUUCAGAACAGAACAGCCGUGGUGUUAUCACCCAUCUGCAGAGCAACAGCGAGGAAGCAGCAGCUGCAUCUCUGAACAAGCCAUGCAAAAGCAGCAUUAGUGUGAAUAACCUGCCUGUUUCAAGCCUAUCAGUAGGAAAGCCAGCACCAUACAUGUCACAGCAUGACACUGCUGCUCUCUGACACCCCCACGCACAGCAGUCCUGAGGACCUAUGGCUACGCUGCAGCUUCAGCAC